CCUACGGGUGGCUGCAGUGGGGAAUAUUGGACAAUGGGGGGAACCCUGAUCCAGCCAUGCCGCGUGUGUGAAGAAGGCCCUCGGGUUGUAAAGCACUUUCAGUGAGGAAGAACGCCUGGUGGUUAAUACCCAUCAGGAAAGACAUCACUCACAGAAGAAGCACCGGCUAACUCCGUGCCAGCAGCCGCGGUAAUACGGAGGGUGCGAGCGUUAAUCGGAAUUACUGGGCGUAAAGCGCGCGUAGGUGGCUUGAUAAGCCGGUUGUGAAAGCCCCGGGCUCAACCUGGGAACGGCAUCCGGAACUGUCCAGCUAGAGUGCAGGAGAGGAAGGUAGAAUUCCCGGUGUAGCGGUGAAAUGCGUAGAGAUCGGGAGGAAUACCAGUGGCGAAGGCGGCCUUCUGGACUGACACUGACACUGAGGUGCGAAAGCGUGGGUAGCAAACAGGAUUAGAUACCCUAGUAGUC
rnacentral:rRNA from 1 species